UACGUAGGUGGCAAGCGUUGUCCGGAUUUAUUGGGUUUAAAGGGUGCGUAGGCGGUCCCAUAAGUCAGUGGUGAAAUACUCUAGCUUAACUAGAGGGGUGCCAUUGAUACUGUGGGACUUGAGUAGAGUUGAAGUGGGCGGAAUUGACGGUGUAGCGGUGAAAUGCUUAGAUAUCGUCAAGAAACACCGAUAUGAAGACAGCUCACUAAGCUCAAACUGACGCUGAGGCACGAAAAGUGUGGGGGAUCAAACAGG
rnacentral:rRNA from 1 species